UCAGUGAAGAAAAUAAUUAUGAUGACAAUUUCAUAUCGAGUAUAAAAAAAGUUGCUUCAAUUAGCCGAGAUGAUUGUUUUUUUACUGAAGAUGGAAAAGUUGUUUUUGUUAGAUUUGUAAACAGGAAGGUUACAGAUAAUAAUCAGAUAGUAGCAAACAAGGAAAACAGAGAAGGACAAAGUUGAUUGAAAGGAUGAGUAAAACUGUAGGCGCCAACACAGGUGACUGUACUCGAACGAUUAUGCCGUGUAUGUUGGUUUAUUUCCUUAUGAGAAAUUUCAAUAUGGAUGGGCAGAGAGGCAGAAAAUGAAGUUUUAAAGAAACCAAUGUGUGAUUGGGUCUGUCCUAGUGAGAUAUCCAAAAGAUUCAGAGAAAACAGUUCAUCAGUUUAUUCAAGGAAUUUUAAAAAACGCACCAGCAUCACAGAAAUCGGAAUAAAAAUAUAAUCAUGUACGUUUUAUUGUUGAUGCUGUAAAAAUUAUU